rnacentral:misc_RNA from 1 species
GCGAGUAGAUCUCGUUACCCACACAUUGUUGUUGCUUUUUUUCUUGGAUUUCUUUUUCGCCGUGGCUUGUGUCGUCGAUCGGGUCUUGGUUCCGUUUGAUACAUUAUUGCCAUUGUUGUUGUAGUUAAUUGUUGAGGGCCUCGUUGUUGUUGGGUUAGAGACGAGAGUUGCUUUUGCUUUUUGGGAGGUGGGUCUUCAUCUUCAUCGUCGUCCUCAUCUUCUUCUCCCUCAAUGUCUUCGGGUUUGGGGGAUUUGGGAGUGCGUUUCUCGGUGUCGUUGGAGGUGGUUGGGUCAGAUUCUGAGAGGCCGGAUACAAAUAGCUCUUUCUGUCUAAUGGAGUCACCGUUUUGAGAGGUAUCGAAGUCGUUAAGCGGUUGUUCUGUGUCGUUACUGUGUUCAGCAAGUUCAAUGGUGGUGGGAUCCAGGUGCUUGACGGGUUCUUCUUCUUCUUCAUCAUCUUCUUCGUCGUCUUCUUCUUCUUUGUAGGCUGCUUCAAGGGAGUCCAUGCGAAGGCGUUUAGUUCUGG